rnacentral:tRNA from 1 species
GGGGUUAUGGUUCAGUGGUAGAGCGCUCGCCUCGAAUGUGCGAGGUCCUGGGUUCAAUUCUCAGCACCA